rnacentral:misc_RNA from 1 species
GAUGAAGAACGUAGCGAAAUGCGAUACGUAGUGUGAAUUGCAGAAUUCCGCGAAUCAUCGAGUUUUUGAACGCAAGUUGCGCCCGAGGCUUGUCCGAGGGCAUUUCCGCUAGAGCGUCACCGCGCCCCCCCACCACACUCUCUUAGAGUCUGAGUGGAACUGGCCGUCCCGGCAAUCGGGUCGGCUGAAAUGGAGGGAAUUUGGCCGCCGUGGCAUCACUUGCCCCGCGAUCAGGUGCGAUCUCUCGAAAGAGUGUCAUUCCAAGUGCGGGGCUCCCAGUGAGCCCGAGUGCGCGCCCCGAGUUCCACAGCAGGCUUACCUUGUGAACAACCACUUGGGCCAGCGAUGGCCCCAAGUGCUGCUGCAAAGCGUAAAGAGAGGUAACGCAUCAGACCUCUAAUCGGAAAAGACUACCCGCCGAGUUUAAGCAUAUCAAUAAGCGGAGGA